CUUGGCAAUAGCAUCCAUGUCCCAAGGCAAAAAAGGGGUGGAGGGAGACUCACCAUAGGUGGCACGAUGGUAAGUCGCGAUUGACGGUGCCGACUUCUAGUGACAAAAAAGGCCCAAUAACUCUUAGAAUAGGGGAGAUUAGGAAGGAAAGGAUUUUUUUUUCUUUUGCAGGUGAUGAGACUUGGUUGCAGCAGCACGAUGGCCGUUGGAGGUG
rnacentral:lncRNA from 1 species